UGGAAGUAAUGGAGCCUUCUGGGAUGCCGUUGAAAGGAGCUGUCCUCCCUGGCAUGUGAACAGUGCUUGACUGGCUAUGAAUAAAAGUCAAUUAUGCCAGUAUCUCCCUCAAAGAUGGUGAGAAUCAGGAGUGCUGAAAUCAUGCAUGCAUGUAUGACUUACUUCUGGUGGACCCACCGCGGGAUCAGAAAUGUCUACACUGUUGCUGCUUUUCUAAUUUUAGCCAUCUUGAAGAGUGACACAAGUCAUCACACAGUUG
rnacentral:lncRNA from 10 species